UACGUAGGGCGCAAGCGUUAAUCGGAAUUACUGGGCGUAAAGCGUGCGCAGGCGGUUUUGUAAGUCUGUCGUGAAAUCCCCGGGCUUAACCUGGGAAUUGCGAUGGAGACUGCAAGGCUAGAAUCUGGCAGAGGGGGGUGGAAUUCCACGUGUAGCAGUGAAAUGCGUAGAGAUGUGGAGGAACACCGAUGGCGAAGGCAGCCCCCUGGGUCAAGAUUGACGCUCAUGCACGAAAGCGUGGGGAGCAAACAGG
rnacentral:rRNA from 1 species